UGAACUUACAGGUCCCAAAAGCUUUAUCAAGAAAUCCUUAACUAUCACAGAUCAAAUCUGGUCUUUCUUCACUCAGGGCACCCGUUGGAUGGAUUGACCAUCUAUCAGUGCUUUCUGAAUUUUGCGGGGCCAGAUUUUU
rnacentral:snoRNA from 1 species